rnacentral:lncRNA from 1 species
AUAAAGUGGGGGUGAGCAUCAUAAACGAUCAUCGCUCCAUCUCAGGGAAUCCACCCUAGCUAGGUUUGAAAAUAGUAUACGACACUAUAUAUAUUAUAGGAAAAUGAUUGAUGCACAACAAAAGUUUUGUUUGUUUUGAAAAUAAAUUGUAUGCUGAUGAGGAUUUUUACCACAUGCAAAAAUAGGGAUAAAAGAAUAUUGUUUUGUUUGUUUUAAUUAAAAACAAUUAAAUAAAUUGGGAAAGUAAAGAAAACAAAAGAAAAUAGUUUUGAAAAUAAAUUUGAGCACUAGGGUUCAGCCGUCAACUUAACAAUCCUACGUAAUUCUCUAAAUUAAUUAUGACUUACACAUGCAUAUUUGAAGGUAGGUUUUCCUAAAGUAUGCCCUACUUGGAACCUCCAACAUAGAACGUAUAUCUAACAUGCAACCUGUCUGUGGUGUCCAGAUUGAAUGUGAACAUGCAAGACUCAUUAAGUUUUGUGAAAACCUUUUGAAAACCAUAUAACCCUUAAGACAUGUCGUCCAUCCUAAGAAGUUACAUAUAUUAACCACAAGAAGCCAGCGCCAAUUUCAGGGAUAGCCCUCCGCCAAAAUUGCAUCAAAUUACUUUUCU